CAGUAGCCACGGUAAUACGAAGGGGGCUAGCGUUGCUCGGAAUCACUGGGCGUAAAGCGCACGUAGGCGGACUCUUAAGUCGGUGGUGAAAUCCUGGAGCUCAACUCCAGAACUGCCUUCGAUACUGAGAGUCUUGAGUCCGGGAGAGGUGAGUGGAACUGCGAGUGUAGAGGUGAAAUUCGUAGAUAUUCGCAAGAACACCAGUGGCGAAGGCGGCUCACUGGCCCGGUACUGACGCUGAGGUGCGAAAGCGUGGGGAGCAAACAGGAUUAGAUACCCGCGUAGUCCCUGUCUCUUAUAC
rnacentral:rRNA from 1 species